CCGUGUUCACUUUCUAUGCCACCCCUUAAAGGCGGCAGGAAGAAUGCAUAGAAACACCAAAAAUCAAUGUAGACCAGAGAGCUGUUGAAGACAGCCCAGGGCCAAAGUGUACAGGAUCGCACAGAAAACGGGAAGUCUCAUUUUCUAAUGGGUAACAACAGUCCCUUUCAGACUGGACAAGUGGACGUCUCAAAAGUUAGGGGUAAAAACUGAAGCCCGAAGGUUAUCACCAUCAUCCUUCAUGAACUUUAGUGAUGCAAACAGGAUGUGGACCUUUAGCAAAGCGAGAAACACCUAGAGAAAUCCCCCCCACCAUUCCACCACCAUUACAUUACAUUAUUAGGCUGGGGUUUUGGUCUUUUUUGGUGGUUGUUUUGGUCGACAGUGUCUCACGUAGCACACGCUGGCUUUAACCUCCCUCUGUAACCAAACCUGGCCACAGGUUUCUGAUUCUCCUGCCUUCACUUCCCAAGUGCUGGGAUUACAGGUGGCUGCCACCCCUCCUGGUUUUAUGUGGUUCUGGGGAUUAAACGCAUAGCCUCCGGUAUUCUACCAGCUGAGCUACAUCCCAGUCCCAGAUGUAUUUAAAGAAUAACACGCUCGGAUUUUCUAAUGCCAAUCUACAACAUGCCAGAUAAUGUCCUGUGGCUGGUGAUAUGCUAAACAUGUCUGUCUAAAGUCCUAAAAUGGGACGAAGGGCUAAACGCAUGCAGACAGCGCUCGCGUGCUUCCUUGGUAAGAGAAAAAAGGUAAAAGCCAUAGAGUAAUGCAUUUACGGCCAGAGGUUAGGAGGGAGGCAGGCUUUUACUUAUGAUUUUUUUCGACCACGACGCACGCCUGCAUCACUUGUAGCACGCAACACGAACCCGGAUUUGCUUGGAACUGUGUCUGCAUUUCCUGGCUGAGGUGCCCACUGAAGCCUUGUUCACCGCGGGCGGGGCUCUGCGCAUGCUCACACACCUCUGCCCCUUCCCAGGCCCACCCCUUCCCGCUCUUCCUGGUGGUCUGCAGCCCACCCGAUCUUUUACUUCUAAACUCUCCCUUCGCCUUUCCGGGUCCGUUUCUGUCCUUUUAUCUCCCCCUCGGCCAUUUCAACCCAGAAUGUCUGAAGGUGGAGACCAAGGACAGAAGCAAAAUUAAGCGCGAUGCGCCUUCAAGCCCUGGCUCAGCUCUGAUGGACAUCAUCUGUUGAACAUCUCGGAAGGGUUGAACCGCCCAUUGAGUCAUCUGUGGGCCAUCCAAACCGAGGAACCAUUACAGUAUGUUUUCCCUAGUGGAUCUGUGGUCAGCACCUGAACUCAGGGGCGCCGUGCUCUGAGGGCCUUCUCCUUCACGCCUCUCAUCAGGGCUGUGUCAAAGCCAGUGCCAAGGAUGGACCCUGAGCUCCCCAAACACUGGACAAGUGCUCCGCCAUUGAGGCGUUGAAGCAAAAUGACUCCAUUCCUUCGGUCGUCCUCUGUUGUCACACCUCUGCCAAGAUCACCAGCAAGCCCCACCUUAACAAGUCCAGUAACGGUCACCUCUCUGUUCUUCUUUCUCAGCCACCCAUAAGUCUCGCUGCUUAGCUGUAUUUUGUUUGGUUUUAAGAUAGGGUCUGAAGUAGCCCAAGCUGGCCUCAAACUUGCUAUGUAGCUGAGGAUGACCUUGAUCUCUCUGCUUCCACCUUCCCAGUCCUGAAUAGCUGGUGUGUGCACCACCCUCUGUUACCUGGUGCUGGGGGAUCUCUCAUUUGGGCCUCACCUCUGGGCUGCAGAUCUAUUUCUUCACCCAGAAGUCUAUCAGGAGUCAGACCGGAGAGCUCUGGGAUCUUGCCUUAUUCUAUUCUCUCUGGUCCUUUCUCCAGGUUCCCCCCUGGGAAUGGCCACCCCAACAGAGGAGUCAGUCCAACAUCUGGAUAACCUCUGCCCCCUUGUCCAGUCCAUGAGCACAUCCUUCCUACGGAAGCUUCCCUUCCCCUAGUCCAGCCACGCCGGCUCAAGUCAUCUUCUCUCUACCCUGUGGGUCCUAGGGUGACUCAUCUCUUUCCUCGUUUGCCUUCACAUAGUCUGUUCUGCAAACAACAGCCAGAGUGAUCUCUUAGAGACAUAAAUCCCGCCUCAAUUUUCCCCUCGACAACACUCCUCCUUGGACUGUCUAUCAUAUUUAGAUCAGAAACGUAGCUAACAUCUCGGUGGGCCGCAGGUCUACGGGAUCCAUUUCCCACGGCUCCUCUUGAUGCACCACAGUCACCUGUUCGCGGUGUUUGUUUAGUCUAGGGCAGUGCUUUUCAACCUGUGUGUGGGUCGCUUGACCCCGAGGGUUACGUAUCAGAUACCCCGCAUAUCAGAUAUUUACAAUUCAUAACAAACAAAACGUUUCACCUAGCGAAAUUACAGUUAUAAAGUAGCAACUUUAUAUAUACGGGGUCGCCACAGCACGAGAAACUGCAUUAAAGGGUUGCAGCGUGAGGAAGGUUGAGGACCACUGCUCUAGGGCCUUGCGUGUGCCAGGCAAGCAUUCCACCACUAAGCUACAUCCCUAGCCCUCCUUAUGCUUCUAGUUGUGACACAGGGUCUCAAAUGUAACUCCAGCUCCAGGGCAUCCAAUGACCCUUUCUGAGGGUACUUGCAUGUACAUGACAUAUAUAUAUAUACACACACACACAUGUACACACACCGUCACAGCUCCUUUGAGAUGCAGCUCACACAUCACACAAAGUGCACAGUGCAGUGGUUUUUUAGUAUAUUUGAGUGGUGCAACAACCUUUCUUUCUUUUUUUUUUUUUUUAAAUUUAUUUAUUUAUUAUGUAUACAGAAGAGGGCGCCAGAUCUCAUUACAGAUGGUUGUGAGCUACCAUGUGGUUGCUGGGAAUUGAACUCAGGACCUCUGGAAGUGCAGUCAGUGCUCUUAUCCUCUGAGCCAUCUCUCCAGCCCCCAAUCUUUCUUUUUUAAACAUUGUGUGUGUGUGUGUGUGUGUGUGUGUGUGUGUGUGUGUGUGUGUGUGUGUUCUGUGCUCGAGAGCCUCAGCACACAUGUGGAGGUCAGAGGACAACUUUCUGGAAUUGGUCCUCUCCUACCACCAUGUGGGUUCUGAGCAUCAGUGGCACAUGUCCUUACCCACUGAGCCAUCUUGGGGCACAACCUGU